AGUAACACGUGGAUAACCUACAUAUAAGACUGGGAUAACUUCGGGAAACCGGAGCUAAUACCGGAUAAUAUUUUGAACCGCAUGGUUCAAAAGUGAAAGACGGUCUUGCUGUCACUUAUAGAUGGAUCCGCGCUGCAUUAGCUAGUUGGUAAGGUAACGGCUUACCAAGGCAACGAUACAUAGCCGACCUGAGAGGGUGAUCGGCCACACUGGAACUGAGACACGGUCCAG
rnacentral:rRNA from 1 species